rnacentral:rRNA from 1 species
AGCGAACGCUGGCGGCAGGCCUAACACAUGCAAGUCGAACGAAGUCUUCGGACUUAGUGGCGGACGGGUGCGUAACACGUGGGAACGUGCCUUUAGGUUCGGAAUAACUCAGGGAAACUUGUGCUAAUACCGAAUGUGCCCUUCGGGGGAAAGAUUUAUCGCCUUUAGAGCGGCCCGCGUCUGAUUAGCUAGUUGGUGAGGUAAAGGCUCACCAAGGCGACGAUCAGUAGCUGGUUUGAGAGGUUGAUCAGCCAGCUUGGGACUGAGACACGGCCCAAACGCCUACGGCAGGCAGCAGUGGGGAAUCUUGCGCAAUGGGCGAAAGCCUGACGCAGCCAUGCCGCGUGAAUGAUGAAGGUCUGAGGAUUGUAAAAUUCUUUCACCGGGGACGAUAAUGACGGUACCCGGAGAAGAAGCCCCGGCUAACUUCGUGCCAGCCGCCGCCGUAA